CCUGCUUCACUGUUGAAGAAAGACUGAAGUGGGAAGCGCUGGGAGGAGCCCCACAGCCUGGCUUAGGGCCCAGCUCUGCUCCUGCCUUACUGUGUGGCUUGGUCCAAGUCACCCAGCCCCUGUGGCCUGCGUGACCUCUUACAGUGCAGCAUGGACCAAGUUCUUUCUCCUCCUGUCAACCUCUGUAGUCUCUGGACCCUGCCAGCUAGGCAGACCUUGGGGAAUAAGGAGGUGUCUGCUUCCAUGGCACCACUGAUGGGCCCCGGCACCCUCAGUGUUCAAGGUGUACAGUUAUAGACAUGUCCCUGCCCCUGGCUGCUGGGAUGAAAUGCAGUGUGUGUUGGCUCACCUGGUGUAUUUCCUCUGUGUGGGCAGUAUGAAAGAGGAUCUCCGUGUAGACCUGGGGACAGGUGCAUGAAGGGCCAGAAUUUGGGGGAAAGGGAGCCAGCCUGAGAGCCAUUACUCUGAGUCAGAGACCCUAAGAAUUGGAGACAUCUCCCCUCCGAGUGGAGGGUUGUCUGAUUUGCCAAAUGCUAACUAGAUAGGUACCAGCCUUGGGUACCUGGACCAAGCACAUCACAGAGCCGACAGUAUGUCACCACCCUCCUUCCCCACAUGGCGGGCAUGGCAUGGUUUUCACAAGACUUCCCAAAGGAAGCUGAAGUUGACCUCAGAAUACUUCAGGGAGCUGCAAAAUUGAUAAGUAAGCAAAAACCUGUUUUCUCGUCCUGCCUGAGGAGACCCUGUUGGUUCUGGUGCCUCUUCACCCAGACUCGGCUGUGACUCAGUUUCCCUUUCCAGCAGGUACCCACUUAGGCUUCAGUCCAGGGCAGGAAGGGGUUGGCUGGCAGGGCACCAUCUGGCCCAGACAUUCUAGCUCCACCUGCGAAGGAGUCCAGCUGGAUGCCCGCUCUCCUCGGAAGCUCUCACCCCCUUCCUCCCAGAAGAUCUCAGUCAGUUUGUUGUUACUGUGCUACUGGGGCUUGAACCCAGGGCUUUACACUGAGCUACAGUCCCACUUUUGAAUUAUUUUUCUACUGUGAGUCAGGGUCUCACUCACUAAAUUGCCCAGGCCGAACUUGGAACUUGCGAUCCUCCUGCCUCAGCCUCCCAGCCAGAGUGCUGGGAUCACAGACAUACACCGCCCUGCCUAGCUUCAGUCACAGUUUUUCAGAAGUAGCUCCCGUGUCCGUCACUGCUGCCCAGCCAGCUCACGAGGCCCAUGCCCGAGUCAUGAAUGUGCAUGAGCCUGCCUUCUGCUCUCACACGUGGGCAUCGCCUGCACUCACAGCGGGUUCAAUCUGCAUGGGCUUUGCAUGUAACUAGGGCCUUAUUUUUGGAAGGGGGGAAGGGCAGGUCGGCAUUGGUGGGUAAUCUUAUUCCUGGGGAGAACUGUCAAUCAGCACCGCUAAAACACAAGCUGCCCACCGGUAAGGAGGAAGGCCGGCAGCUGAGCGCUGACAGCCCGCACACAAAGGCUGCCUGGCUGAGCGGCUUUUGAUUCCUCCCUGAGCAGUGGGAAGGGGAAUUGCUUCCGAUUGUCGCCGGUGGAGUGACUCAGCCUGCCAGCGAUUGCGCUUUCACUUUCUGCCUUUCCUCCGAAUCCAAGGGCACUUAAUUGGGUGCCGCGUGGGCCCUGGCUCCCAACACCCCAGCAGCCUGAACCCCUUUAGCACCUCAGCACCCUCAGCCUCUCCUUGCACCACACGGCCUCCUCCAUUCUUGCCUCUUCAGCCAUUCACUCAGAAAAUGUGUACCGAACUCCUCACACCGAGUCCUUUCGGGCGGCCAGCCGAGGCUUGCAAACCGAACUGAGAUGAUUAACCAGCUCAAAGGCUCACCCCUGCCCCGGCCACGGCCCCCUGACCCCCAGUCUAGAGCAGCACUCUGGAGGAAGGGUCAAGAACAAGAAGUACAAAGGCUGGGAGGAACUCCAGAUAAGGAAGCUGAUUCUGGCUAAGUACUCACAAAUCCAAGCUCCAGAAGGAACCCACGUCGUGGUCAGAAAUAGACCGGAGGGGACUGCGCGGGCUGUGCAGGGCUGAGGGGAGAUCGUGUUCUGUGCCCUGUCUGUCCAGUGCUGCUCAGUCGCUCCCAUUACCCCAGAACUCAGAGUGGACGGUAAGCUUAUUUCUCACUUCCCUGAGUCCAGACAGACCCCUUUCAGCUCCAUGCCUCUCCUUCCAUGCUGCAGAAGGUGGUGAUGAGAGGAAGGUGUUGUUUGGUUUGAGCCCUGGUGUCUGGGAAGGAGCAUGCAGAAUGGAACGUGAGGGGCCAUGUCCUGGGCAGGCUCCCACCUAAGGGUGUGGGAGCAGGAGCCUCUCGGAAGUGAUAGCAUCCCUAGGGAUGGUCCUAGGGAAGUGGCUGCCCAGUGCAGGGCGGGCCUGGGGAAAAGGUCGAGGUUGUGUCUGAAUUCCCUGGGGCGAGGUUCUGAGAAGUGCAGGCAGAAGGCCUUGACUUCCUUUUCUUCUCUACUCAGUAUCUACCUCUGCCUGCCUCCUCUGUGGGCUGCUCUGCUGCCCUCAGUGUGAGACCCCUUCCUCCUUCCCUCCCGCUCUGCCACUGCUCCUGAAUCUCCAAGAUCUGUGCCAUGGCUGGCUUUACGCCUAGCCCAUGGACAUUGGCUUCACGGAAAUUAAGAUCUGCCCCCUUCACCCCACCUUUAGAAGGGACAGAGACAGCAGUUGGGUAGGGUGGGUGAGAAGAUUUAGGCUUGGGAGCCCAGCUGAGAGGGCUCCCCCGCAAGCUUUCUUCGGUGGUUUCUCCAAGUUCACUGUGAACAAGUCCGGACACUUAAAGCUUAGCCGCAGUAGAACCCGGGGUAACCACAGAGCAGCUGUGCGUGUCAAGACUUGGGGUUAGCUCGCAGGUAUCUGGGGUUAGACAGGAAUGCUCUCCAGGGGACCAGAGGUGGCUGUCCUUUGGCCACUCCUCCCCUCACUCCUCUCCUUUACUCUCAGCAGCCUUUGUCAUCUCUCUCUCAAUCCCUGAGCUCCCGGCACAGCCCCCCUGCAUGAGAGUCCUUCACACUGCUGCUCAGGAGAAUGCCCGCGCAUAUGGGGCCCUGAAACCUUGCUGGCAUUUGUCACAAGGGAAAUGGCUGGGGUCAGCAGAUUUUGAUUUCUCCAACCCUGGAGACUCGCUUUGCUCUCUGGGACAGGAGCCCAAACAUCUACCAUCCCCAGCAGCAUACUGGAGAAUGAAGAGGGUAGCAUUCAGGAGCUGCAGAUGCAAAGUCUUUGCUGUCACCAAGCUCAUAUUCUGGUGGAGACACACACAGUAAACAAUCUCAUUUAAAAAUAAGAGUCUGGUAGGUGAAGGCAAGGAGAUUGUAGAAAAGAACAAAACAAAACAGAUUGGUGUAAUAGAAGUAGUGGAGGAGCUUGAAUUUUUCUGUGGUAUCCAGGGAAAGCCACCUCACUUAGGGAGGUGAGGCUGGAGGUGAGAUGUAAGGGG
rnacentral:lncRNA from 1 species